CCUCCUUUCUAAGGAUGAAUAAAAGUAAAAUUUUAUUCUAAAUAAUAUACAGGUUAAUGUUGACCGUCCUCAUUUCUCUUCUUGAAGUAGUGUUUCUCUUUUCUGCAUAGGGGCCGGUAGCUCAGUUGGUUAGAGCACACCCUUGAUAAGGGUGGGGUCGAAAGUUCGAGUCUUUCUCGGCCCACCAAUAUAAUGGGGGAUUAGCUCAGCUGGGAGAGCGCCUGAUUUGCAUUCAGGAGGUCAGCGGUUCGAUCCCGCUAUCCUCCACCAAGAAACACUUAGUUAUUUUUUUUGUGAAUAUUUAAUAAUUUAUAUCAAUAUCUAUAUCCGAACAUUAAUUCAUUUAUUAAUGUUCAAAUAAAAAAUUUGAUUCAACACAGAAUUUUUUUCUGUGCAUAAAUCAAGCGUUUAAGGGCGUGUGGCGGAUGCCUGGGCACUGAAAGCCGAUGAAGGACGUGGUAUACUGCGAUAAGUUACGGGGAGCUGUAUGCAAGUUUUGAUCCGUAAAUUUCCGAAUGGG
rnacentral:misc_RNA from 1 species